rnacentral:misc_RNA from 1 species
AAUUUUUGCAGUGUAAUUUUGUAAAUUACAUCUAGUGAUUAAUUUUUGUUUGUAGCAGAUUCUUAAGAGUGGAGAUAACUAUAGCCAAAUAGACUUUUCCCUUACUAGAAGAGAGGACAAAGCUCAUUGUAAGAAUUGCAAUGUUAUCCUUGGUGAGGUUCUAGCUAAUCAGCACAAGCUAAUGGUUUUAGAUGUGAUGGUAAAGAGCGAAGUGAAGAAGGAAAGAGAUUUAUUCAACCUAAAACUUGAUGGUGGAACCUAAAAG